rnacentral:pre_miRNA from 1 species
GGCCCAAAUUUGAAGUAAAGUAGAUUGGAAGGAUCAUCUGACCCUACUAAACUACUCUACUUCGAAUUUGUGCCC